rnacentral:rRNA from 1 species
UACGUAGGGGGCAAGCGUUGUCCGGAAUCAUUGGGCGUAAAGAGCGUGUAGGCGCCAGAAAAGUCCGCUGUGAAAACUCGAGGCUCAACUUCGAGCUGUCGGUGGAAACUUUCUGGCUAGAGUCCGGAAGAGGAGAAUGGAAUUCCUGGUGUAGCGGUGAAAUGCGCAGAUAUCAGGAAGAACACCAAUGGCGAAAGCAGCUUUCUGGGACGGUACUGACGCUGAGACGCGAAAGCGUGGGGAGCGAACAGG